AUACUUACCUGGCAGGUGAGAUACCAUGAUCACACGAUUCAGGGCAAGGCUUAUCCACUGCACUCCGGAUAUGCUGACCCCUGUGAUUUCCCCAAAUGUGGGAAACUCAACUGCACAGUUUGUGGUAGUGGGGAACUGCAUUCGUGCCUUCCCCUG
rnacentral:snRNA from 1 species